AGAGCGAACGCUGGCGGCAGGCCUAAUACAUGCAAGUCGAACGGAUCCUUCGGGAUUAGUGGCGGACGGGUGAGUAACACGUGGGAACGUGCCCUUUGGUUCGGAACAACUCAGGGAAACUUGAGCUAAUACCGAAUGUGCCCUUCGGGGGAAAGAUUUAUCGCCAUUGGAGCGGCCCGCGUCUGAUUAGCUAGUUGGUGAGGUAAAGGCUCACCAAGGCGACGAUCAGUAGCUGGUCUGAGAGGAUGAUCAGCCACACUGGGACUGAGACACGGCCCAGACUCCUACGGGAGGCAGCAGUAGGGAAUCUUGCGCAAUGGGCGAAAGCCUGACGCAGCCAUGCCGCGUGAAUGAUGAAGGUCUUAGGAUUGUAAAAUUCUUUCAGCGGGACGAUAAUGACGGUACCCGCAGAAGAAGCCCGGCUAACUUCGCGCCAGCAGCCGC
rnacentral:rRNA from 1 species